GGGGGUAUAGCUCCGUGGUAGAGCGUUUGACUGCAAAUCAAGAGGUCUCUGGUUCAAAUCAAGGUGCUCCCU
rnacentral:tRNA from 1 species